GUUGGAUACAAAUAACCUAACAGCGCCUAAUGACAUUCUGUGAAAACACGUCUAUUUUUUGUUGUUGUUUUCUUUCCUAAAUGCCAGAAGUGAUUUCGUGCACAACGUAUUUCUUUCUUUCAUUGCAAAAGGAACUGAGGAGGCUUUGUGGUUAUAUAAAGUGCCAAAAAAUUCCAAAGGCAGGGAACCGCCAGGCAUCUCUUUGCUCUUGUACCAGGGCGGGAGAGGGGACGAGGGGCAUUUGACAUCCUGUCGCUUAAGACAGAAGAUAUUAUUUUACUGAGUAAUCGCCAGCAAAACACUUUGAAAGCCAAAUUUGCAGCCUGCAGCACGUUUUUCAAGCCUCAUAUACUCCCGUGGAAGCAGUGCUGCUAAUGGCAGAAGGCUUGCUUCCUCCUAGCAGUGCUAGGGCGCUGCUGGAAUAAGCCUCCCUAUCACUUGCCUGUGGCCUCUGCACUGUGCACACUCCACGCACCCAGUGAGCGACAGAGACUUUACCUGCUCUCUGCAUGUGCGAAAUUAACAAUCUGCUCUCUGGAAAUUGCUGCAAUGCUUGUCAAAAGUCACUGUUUUAUCCCGUAAUUUUCUACAAGGAGAACACAGUGGAGGCCAAGCCAGCAGCAGUCCUCCUGAACUUCAGGCUGGAUUCAUUUAGUGGAUUGGAACUCCUAGGUGGGUAUAAGCAUACGGGUACAAUAUAACACCUUCUCCCAACAAAAAAGAUUGAUUGCAUCUUAGCCUCGGUAUUAAAUGUGCUAUUAUCAGAAGAAGCUGGAAUAAUGCAUGCAGUCACUUUAAAAGAAAGCAGGUUUCCUUUGCGAGCAUACUUAUUAUUUCAAUAGUAUUUGAGAACUAGUUUAAUAGUGGCCACGUUGUUGCUUACUAAAAUAUAUUUGAAUUGAACAUGUAUAUAUCAAGGUAUUUUUUCUUAAUUUUAGUUUGAAUUAUUCCUAAAGUUCUCAUUAAAUUUACCAUUUGUAAAGGACAGAUUAAAUGAAAAUGGCUUUUAGAAAAAUAGAGCUGGAAAUUAUUUUGACCUUUGUGACCUGAUAGAGGUGAUAAUUUGCUGCAGCACUAGAUACUGGACGUAUCUGACAUUUUAGGUAUUCCCUCAUAGUUUCAGACCUUUGUACAGAUGAACUCCACCUGGGACAACUCAGCAGUCAGCUUCUUGUUACCUUAAUGUAAAUGAGAAGACUACAGCUGUCUUAAACAAUCUAGGUGGACACCACCAAUGGAAAAUUAAACUUGGGCGAGGGCACAGCUAAGAAAAGAAUGUCUAUUAUCCACAAUAAUGCUCCUAACAUUUUCUAAACAGCUAUUACCUGUGUCUGUCCAUAAUUGUCCUUGUUGCAGUAAUGUUGCAAUCUUUCUUUCUGAACAGUUACAGAAAUCUCUCCCCACUGACUUUUCCAUAUGUAAACAACCUAUACUGCAUUUUAUAAUGUAAAACAAAUGUGGUAAGUAGGUCCCACAUUAAAAAAUCAUUUUGAGUGGAAUGUCUGAAAUGCUCAGGGGAUUUUGCGGGGGAGGUUAGAAAAUACGACAACUUGCACUCAGUUUCCAAAUGCAUUCCCAUAUAUGCAGAGGAGUGUCCCUAGGACCUAUAGAGCGCAUUGUUACUGAAUUUGGAUUGUCACUGAGAACAAAUAAGUCACUUUCUCUUUUGCAAAACGAUGCAAAAUAAGCUGUAGUGGAUUUUUGUUAUCUAAUAGUUCUCAUGGCUUUUACUGGACAUCAACAUAACUAAAUUCUUAUAUUGACAAUAAAAAUAUUUGUCUAUUUAGAAAACA
ensembl:lncRNA